GUGAGUGACGGGGCUCGACCCUCCCGGAUGAGGAGGGGAGCCACACCGCCUCGUUACACCCAUGCUCAGGCCAAGGCAGGGGAAAGGCUGGAGCCGUACUGGGUCAGGAAAGCUCUGCCCCUCAGGCACUGCUGAGCAUGCUUGUGGGGAAAGGAGCAGUGCAGAGAGAGCUCCAGUAGCCUAGACAAGGGGAGGAGAGAGAGAAACUAUUUCUUGGAGACAUGGUGCCCUGAGAUGAUGAUGAUGAUGAUGACAGCAGCAGCAUCGACUCUUACCGAGCAGGGCUCUCAAUCCAUUUCUAAUCUACUGGACAAAGCCUCAGAGACUGACUAGGAAGACAUGAAGAAAUAGUUCAUUAUGUCUCAAUUAACAGAAGACAAAGCUGAGGAACAGCCAGGUACCUGGACGAGCGAGUGAUACAUGUCAACUCUGUGUUCUUGGGGAGCCAGGGUGCAGUAUCCAGCCUGUCUGACUCAUGAAGGACACCCCUGCCCCCAGCCUCUGCUUGAACCAAAACCGAUCAGAGAGAAGACUUACAGAAAGCAAUAAAAGGUGGUGGGAAACUGACAAGAGUGAUAGGAUUAAGCUAACUCCCCUAGCUUCAUCUGCAUCAAAUAUGGGGCAUGGAGGCAUCUCCAUUAGCAUACAGAAUGGAUAACAGAGAUUCUAAGGAUUCUAGUGAGAUGUCUUUACUACAGGGCUUUGGAGCAACAGG